UACGAAGGGGGCUAGCGUUGUUCGGAAUUAUUGGGCGGAAAGCGCGCGCAGGCGGUUAUGUAAGUCUGAUGUUAAAGCCCGGGGCUCAACCUCGGUUCGCAUUGGAAACUGCGUAACUUGAGUGCAGAAGAGGAAAGUGGUAUUCCACGUGUAGCGGUGAAAUGCGUAGAGAUGUGGAGGAACACCAGUGGCGAAGGCGGCUUUCUGGUCUGUAACUGACGCUGAGGCGCGAAAGCGUGGGGAGCAAACAGG
rnacentral:rRNA from 1 species